rnacentral:rRNA from 1 species
GACGAACGCUGGCGGCGUGCUUAACACAUGCAAGUCGAACGGAAAGGCCCUGCUUUUGUGGGGUGCUCGAGUGGCGAACGGGUAAGUAACACGUGAGUAACCUGCCCUUGACUUUGGGAUAACUUCAGGAAACUGGGGCUAAUACCGGAUAGGAGCUCCUGCUGCAUGGUGGGGGUUGGAAAGUUUCGGCGGUUGGGGAUGGACUCGCGGCUUAUCAGCUUGUUGGUGGGGUAGUGGCUUACCAAGGCUCUGACGGGUAGCCGGCCUGAGAGGGUGACCGGCCACAUUGGGACUGAGAUACGGCCCAGACUCCUACGGGAGGCAGCAGUGGGGAAUAUUGCACAAUGGGCGGAAGCCUGAUGCAGCAACGCCGCGUGCGGGAUGACGGCCUUCGGGUUGUAAACCGCUUUCGCCUGUGACGAAGCGUGAGUGACGGUAAUGGGUAAAGAAGCACCGGCUAACUACGUG